rnacentral:rRNA from 1 species
AGUGAACGCUGGCGGCAGGCCUAACACAUGCAAGUCGAGCGGCAGCGGGUCCUUCGGGAUGCCGGCGAGCGGCGGACGGGUGAGGAAUGCGUCGGAAUCUGCCUCUUUGUGGGGAUAACGUAGGGAAACUUACGCUAAUACCGCAUAUGACCUACGGGUNAAAGUGGGGGACCGCAAGGCCUCACGCAGAGAGUGAGCCGACGUCGGAUUAGCUAGUUGGCGGGGGUAAAGGCCCGACCAAGGCGACGAUCCGUAGCUGGUCUGAGAGGAUGAUCAGCCACACUGGAACUGAGACACGGUCCCAGACUCCUACGGGAGGCAGCAGUGGGGAAUAUUGGACAAUGGGCGCAAGCCUGAUCCAGCCAUGCCGCGUGCGUGAAGAAGGCCUCGGGUUGUAAAGCACUUUUGU